rnacentral:rRNA from 1 species
UACGGGGGGGGCGAGCGUUGUUCGGAAUUACUGGGCGUAAAGGGUUUGUAGGUGGCCUGCUAAGUCAGACGUGAAAUCCCUCAGCUUAACUGGGGAACUGCGUCUGAUACUGGCGGGCUUGAGGACAGGAGAGGAACGCGGAAUUCCAGGUGUAGCGGUGAAAUGCGUAGAUAUCUGGAGGAACACCGGUGGCGAAAGCGACUUCCUGGACCAAUACUGACGCUCAUGUGCGAAAGCGUGGGGAGCAAACAGG